GCCAGACUCCUACGGGAGGCAGCAGUGGGGAAUAUUGCACAAUGGGGGAAACCCUGAUGCAGCGACGCCGCGUGAGCGAAGAAGUAUUUCGGUAUGUAAAGCUCUAUCAGCAGGGAAGAAAAUGACGGUACCUGACUAAGAAGCCCCGGCUAAAUACGUGCCAGCAGCCGCGGUAAUACGUAUGGGGCAAGCGUUAUCCGGAUUUACUGGGUGUAAAGGGAGUGCAGGCGGCUUGGCAAGUCUGAUGUGAAAGGCUGGGGCUCAACCCCAGGACUGCAUUGGAAACUGUUAGGCUGGAGUGUCGGAGAGGUAAGCGGAAUUCCUAGUGUAGCGGUGAAAUGCGUAGAUAUUAGGAGGAACACCAGUGGCGAAGGCGGCCUGCUGGACGGAGACUGACGCUGAGGCUCGAAAGCGUGGGGAGCAAACAGGAUUAGAUACCCGCGUAUG
rnacentral:rRNA from 1 species